AAGUGGCACACAUCCCUUAUAGCUGAAAGAACACAUGAAGCGACCAGCGAGUGCAGACUGCCAAAUCGCAGGUUACGCCACAGUACGCUGAGCAGCACUGAGCUCUAGUGGAUGGAGAAUAGAGCAAGAAGAAGAGCCAGAAAUAUGUCUUAACUCCAACUGGGAGUGACAAACGGAAUGCAAGCACAUUGUGGAUCUUAUUUGGAGAAGAGUGCAAGCGAAGGAGUCUUCUUUUCGUUUCCUUUAAACAUGACAAUGUUAUUUAAGAGUCUCCCAUUACUUAACCACGAGAGUGUCAGUGCUAAGGAAUAAUUAAAAAAGUGAUAAGUUUAAAGUGUGCCGGAAGGUUGAAAUGAUAUUUUUAAUAUGCUCUUUCUAUAUCACAGAUUGUGAGUGGGUCAGAAAUAUAUCGCCCCAUUAAAUGAGAGUUCACUGUGCUUCAGCGAAUACAAGUCUGGUGAUUACACAAGGACUAAAAGGGGGAA